rnacentral:misc_RNA from 1 species
CAAAAACAAAUCAAUAAUAAAUUCAAAAAGUUACCCAAAUCCAACAAUUACAGCAAGAACAGAAUUAACAAAAAUGAGAACAAAUUCCAGUAAUUAUCUAAUUAAUCUAAUAAUUACAACAAAUCCAAAAAACCCAACAAUUAUGGUAGAAAAACUUAGCAUUUAUACAACCUGUCAGUCGCACCCCUAGCUAUGUUUCCACACGCCUUCACGUCUACACGACGCACAAAACACAGCUCUUUCCACCUUCGCCACACACCGACUUUGAGCGUUUCCAUCUCAUCCAUACCCCUGCCCUUGAUUCCCUCCUAAACUAUUGUACACCAUACGCAAUUGUUACAUUUUUGCUUUGCUCCAAAAGAAACUUGGAUUAGAAAGGGAAAUUAUAUGAAGAAGAUGAAAAAGUAAGGGCCAAAG